rnacentral:rRNA from 1 species
CGCUGGCGGCGCGCCUAACACAUGCAAGUCGAACGAGCGAGAGAGAGCUUGCUUUCUCAAGCGAGUGGCGAACGGGUGAGUAACGCGUGAGGAACCUGCCUCAAAGAGGGGGACAACAGUUGGAAACGACUGCUAAUACCGCAUAAGCCCACGACCCGGCAUCGGGUAGAGGGAAAAGGAGCAAUCCGCUUUGAGAUGGCCUCGCGUCCGAUUAGCUAGUUGGUGAGGUAAUGGCCCACCAAGGCGACGAUCGGUAGCCGGACUGAGAGGUUGAACGGCCACAUUGGGACUGAGACACGGCCCAGACUCCUACGGGAGGCAGCAGUGGGGAAUAUUGCACAAUGGGGGAAACCCUGAUGCAGCGACGCCGCGUGGAGGAAGAAGGUCUUCGGAUUGUAAACUCCUGUUGUUGAGGAAGAUAAUGACGGUACUCAACAAGGAAGUGACGGCUAACUACGUG